GACUAACGCUGGCGGCGUGCUUAACACAUGCAAGUUGAACGGAGCAAGUUUGUAGCAAUAUGAGCUUGCUUAGUAGCGGACGGGUGAGUAACGCGUGAGCAAUCUGCCUUUGUGAGGGGGGACAACACCGGGAAACCGGUGCUAAUACCGCAUGAGACCACAGCUCUGAGUGGAGCAGGGGGUCAAAGAUUUAUCGCACAAAGAUGAGCUCGCGUCCCAUUAGCUAGUUGGUGAGGUAACGGCCCACCAAGGCGACGAUGGGUAGCCGACCUGAGAGGGUGAUCGGCCACACUGGAACUGAGACACGGUCCAGACUCCUACGGGUGGCAG
rnacentral:rRNA from 1 species